rnacentral:rRNA from 1 species
GACGAACGCUGGCGGCGUGCUUAACACAUGCAAGUCGAACGGAAAGGCCCUGCUUUUGUGGGGUGCUCGAGUGGCGAACGGGUGAGUAACACGUGAGUAACCUACCCUUGACUUUGGGAUAACUUCAGGAAACUGGGGCUAAUACCGGAUAGGAGCUCCUGCUGCAUGGUGGGGGUUGGAAAGUUUCGGCGGUUGGGGAUGGACUCGCGGCUUAUCAGCUUGUUGGUGGGGUAGUGGCUUACCAAGGCUUUGACGGGUAGCCGGCCUGAGAGGGUGACCGGCCACAUUGGGACUGAGAUACGGCCCAGACUCCUACGGGAGGCAGCAGUGGGGAAUAUUGCACAAUGGGCGGAAGCCUGAUACAGCAACGCCGCGUGCGGGAUGACGGCCUUCGGGUUGUAAACCGCUUUCGCCUGUGACGAAGCGUGAGUGACGGUAAUGGGUAAAGAAGCACCGGCUAACUACGUG